rnacentral:rRNA from 1 species
UACGGAGGGGGCUAGCGUUGUUCGGAAUUACUGGGCGUAAAGCGCGCGUAGGCGGUCCUGGUAAGUCCGCUGUGAAAGUCCAGGGCUCAACCCUGGAAUGCCGGUGGAAACUGUCGGGCUGGAGUCCGGAAGAGGCGAGUGGAAUUCCUGGUGUAGUGGUGGAAUACGUAGAUAUCCGGAGGAACACCGGUGGCGAAGGCGGGAUCCUGGGCCAGUACUGACGCUGAGGAGCGAAAGCGUGGGGAGCAAACAGG